rnacentral:pre_miRNA from 2 species
AAAAUACUUCCUUCGUCCGGAAAUCCUUGUCCGAGGAAUGGAUGUAACUAGAUAUAUUUUAGUUUUAGAUACAUCCAUUUUUGCCAAAAGUGAUUCCGGACGGAGGGAGUACUAU